CCCAGCUCGUCAUGCUAGAGUCCUUUUUCAAUGGGGUCCCCAAUGACAAGGCGACGAUGCAUUCGUAUGUCAUCCAUAUCAACUUUCGAUGCCACUUUCUGCGCCUACCAUGGUCACCACGGGUAACAGGGAAUCAGGGUUCGAUUCCGGAGAGGGAGCCUGAGAAACAGCUACCACAUGCAAGAAAGGCAGCAGGCAUGCAAAUGACCCACUUCUGACGCGGGAGUGAGG